GACGAACGCUGGCGGCGUGCUUAACACAUGCAAGUCGAACGAUGAAGCCUAGCUUGCUAGGUGGAUUAGUGGCGAACGGGUGAGUAAUACGUGAGUGACCUACCUUUGACUCUGGGAUAAGCCUGGGAAACUGGGUCUAAUACCGGAUACGACCAAUCUCCGCAUGGGGUGUUGGUGGAAAGCGUUAUGGAGUGGUUUUAGAUGGGCUCACGGCCUAUCGGCUUGUUGGUGAGGUAAUGGCUUACCAUGGCGACGACGGGUAGCCGGCCUGAGAGGGUGACCGGCCACACUGGGACUGAGACACGGCCCAGACUCCUACGGGAGGCAGCAGUGGGGAAUAUUGCACAAUGGGCGCAAGCCUGAUGCAGCGACGCCGCGUGAGGGAUGACGGCCUUCGGGUUGUAAACCUCUGUUAGCAUCGAAGAAGCGAAAGUGACGGUAGGUGCAGAGAAAGCGCCGGCUAACUACGUG
rnacentral:rRNA from 1 species